UACAGAGGGUGCGAGCGUUAAUCGGAAUUACUGGGCGUAAAGCGUGCGUAGACGGUUAUUUAAGUCGGGUGUGAAAGCCCCGGGCUCAACCUGGGAAUUGCAUUUGUGACUGCAUCGCUGGAGUGCGGCAGAGGGGGAUGGAAUUCCGCGUGUAGCAGUGAAAUGCGUAGAUAUGCGGAGGAACACCGAUGGCGAAGGCAAUCCCCUGGGCCUGCACUGACGCUCAUGCACGAAAGCGUGGGGAGCAAACAGG
rnacentral:rRNA from 1 species